rnacentral:rRNA from 1 species
CUACGGGGUGCACCAGUGAGGAAUAUUGCACAAUGGGGGGAACCCUGAUGCAGCAACGCCGCGUGGAGGAUGACGCAUUUCGGUGUGUAAACUCCUUUUAUAUGUCAAGAAAAUGACGGUAGCAUAUGAAUAAGCACCGGCUAACUCCGUGCCAGCAGCCGCGGUAAUACGGAGGGUGCAAGCGUUACUCGGAAUCACUGGGCGUAAAGGACGCGUAGGCGGGUUGGAAAGUCAGGUGUGAAAUCCUACAGCUUAACUGUAGAACUGCACUUGAAACUUCUAAUCUAGAGUAUGGGAGGGGGAGAGGGAAUUAGUGGUGUAGGGGUAAAAUCCGUAGAUAUCACUAGGAAUACCUAAAGCGAAGGCGAUCUCCUGGAACAUUACUGACGCUAAGGCGUGAAAGCGUGGGGAGCAAACAGGAUUAGAUACCCCAGUAGUC